rnacentral:rRNA from 1 species
CCCUUAGAUGUUCUGGGCCGCACGCGCGCUACACUGACGAUGGCAACGAGUUUUUCCUUCGCCGAAAGGUGUGGGUAAUCUUUUGAAACAUCGUCGUGCUGGGGAUAGAUCAUUGCAAUUUUUGAUCUUGAACGAGGAAUUCCUAGUAAGCGCGAGUCAUCAGCUCGCGUUGAUUACGUCCCUGCCCUUUGUACACACCGCCCGUCGCUACUACCGAUUGAAUGGUUUAGUGAGGACUCCUGAUUGGCGCCGCCGCCCCGGCAACGGAGCAGCUGACUGCCGAAAAGUUGUUCAAACUUGAUCAUUUAGAGGAAGUAAAAGUCGUAACA